GAGUUUGAUCAUGGCUCAGAUUGAACGCUGGCGGCAGGCCUAACACAUGCAAGUCGAGCGGUAGCACAGAGAGCUUGCUCUCGGGUGACGAGCGGCGGACGGGUGAGUAAUGUCUGGGAAACUGCCUGAUGGAGGGGGAUAACUACUGGAAACGGUAGCUAAUACCGCAUAACGUCGCAAGACCAAAGAGGGGGACCUUCGGGCCUCUUGCCAUCAGAUGUGCCCAGAUGGGAUUAGCUAGUAGGUGGGGUAACGGCUCACCUAGGCGACGAUCCCUAGCUGGUCUGAGAGGAUGACCAGCCACACUGGAACUGAGACACGGUCCAGACUCCUACGGGAGGCAGCAGUGGGGAAUAUUGCGCAAUGGGCGCAAGCCUGAUGCAGCCAUGCCGCGUGUAUGAAGAAGGCCUUCGGGUUGUAAAGUACUUUCAGCGGGGAGGAAGGUGUUGAGGUUAAUAACCUCAGCAAUUGACGUUACCCGCAGAAGAAGCACCGGCUAACUCCGUGCCAGCAGCCGCGGUAAUACGGAGGGUGCAAGCGUUAAUCGGAAUUACUGGGCGUAAAGCGCACGCAGGCGGUCUGUCAAGUCGGAUGUGAAAUCCCCGGGCUCAACCUGGGAACUGCAUUCGAAACUGGCAGGCUAGAGUCUUGUAGAGGGGGGUAGAAUUCCAGGUGUAGCGGUGAAAUGCGUAGAGAUCUGGAGGAAUACCGGUGGCGAAGGCGGCCCCCUGGACAAAGACUGACGCUCAGGUGCGAAAGCGUGGGGAGCAAACAGGAUUAGAUACCCUGGUAGUCCACGCCGUAAACGAUGUCGACUUGGAGGUUGUGCCCUUGAGGCGUGGCUUCCGGAGCUAACGCGUUAAGUCGACCGCCUGGGGAGUACGGCCGCAAGGUUAAAACUCAAAUGAAUUGACGGGGGCCCGCACAAGCGGUGGAGCAUGUGGUUUAAUUCGAUGCAACGCGAAGAACCUUACCUACUCUUGACAUCCAGAGAACUUUCCAGAGAUGGAUUGGUGCCUUCGGGAACUCUGAGACAGGUGCUGCAUGGCUGGCGUCAGCUCGUGUUGUGAAAUGUUGGGUUAAGUCCCGCAACGAGCGCAACCCUUAUCCUUUGUUGCCAGCGGUUAGGCCGGGAACUCAAAGGAGACUGCCAGUGAUAAACUGGAGGAAGGUGGGGAUGACGUCAAGUCACCAUGGCCCUUACGAGUAGGGCUACACACGUGCUACAAUGGCGCAUACAAAGAGAAGCGACCUCGCGAGAGCAAGCGGACCUCAUAAAGUGCGUCGUAGUCCGGAUUAGAGUCUGCAACUCGACUCCAUGAAGUCGGAAUCGCUAGUAAUCGUAGAUCAGAAUGCUACGGUGAAUACGU
rnacentral:rRNA from 1 species